CCAUUAGACUUCACCUAAUGCUUGUACUUUGAUAGUUUCCAGCAUCCCAACACCGGCUUUGGGGGAUAUAUUAUCAAACUGUAGCAUUCUUGCUCAUAAACAGAUAAGCAUCUGUAAAAUAAAUUUUAGCAGUUGGGCCAGGCAGUGGUGGUGCACACCUUUAAUCCCAGCAUUUGGGAGGCAGAGGCAGGCGGAUUUCUGAGUUCCAGGACAGCCUGGUCUACAAAGAGUUCCAGGACAGCCUGGAGAAACCCUGUCUUGAAAAACAAAACAAAAAUUUAGCAGUUGAGUGCCUUAGAUUUAACUGUAGACCAUGUAAAUAUAGUGAUUUGGGUAAGAUUAAUUAUAAAGGGAGAAAAGUUUGCCCAAGUCCUAAAAGUUAAUAUACAACAUGACUAUCUUCAUGUUUGUAUGGUCUUGCAUAUUUAGUGAAAUUUUUGUGGUCACAUUUUUACCAACUGGGAAAAGGUUGCCUGCUACAGGUAAAGUUGGUUUAUGGUUCUUCCCAGUGAUUUUCACAGAACAUUAAUAGUAUACAGUCAUACUUAAUUAUCUGCAGGGGAUUAGUUCCAGACCCCCUACCUUAUGUAACAAAACCUACAAAAGUCUGGCUCAGUGUAGCCGUAUAUAGCCUUGACGUGAGUACAGUAUAAAUGUUAUGUAAAUAGUUGUUAUACUUUAUUGUUUAGGGAAUGAUGACAAGGAAAAGUCUUCUUACUCUGUAAACAUGAUUUUUUUAUUUUUAUCAAUAGUUGAUUGAGUCCAAAAAAAUGGAACACAGAGAUACAAACCCAAGGUUUACCUAGGUUUGAAUCCAUGACUCAGAAAAUUGACUGUAUUUUUUUUUUUUGAGAUUGUUCACUACCAAAAAAUGCCUAGGUUCAGUGUCUUAGUCCAUAUUUCAAUAUUGUGACCCAGAUCACUUCCAUCAUCAGUUCUCAGGAACCUUCUCAUUUACAGAGAUAUUUUCUGGACCACAGAAAAAUGUUAAGUUGAGGUGUGAUGUCACACAUCUAUAAUUCCAGGUACUUAUGAGGCUGAGGGAAAGAGGAUUACAAAUUUGAGGCUAUAAGGCCUGAGAGAUGGCCACUUCUAAGUCCAAGAGCCUGAAUUCAAUCUCUGUGACCCAAUAGUAGAAGGAGAAAGAACUGACUCUAGUUAGUUACCCCUGACUUCCACAUGCCUCCUCUGGCACAUACACCAGAUACAUACACAAUAAACAAACUUUUUUAAGCUUGAAAGAUUACCAUAUUAAAUAUUAAGCUUACUAGAUGUUUUCCUAUUAUAAUGGGGUUUCUUAUGAGCAAAAUGCUGUAACUAUAGCCUUGUAAGCAGUUUUAAAAUUCGAGGUGGUGUUUGAAAUGGUAUUGCUAAAUGAAGAUUGAAAAUACAACCUCCAGUGUUUUUAAUUUUCUCUGUAGAUAUCAGGAAUGAAUGCAGACAGGUUUUUUUAAAAGGCAUCUGUGGAGUGCUGCUGUUUAAUAAAAGAUUUUUUUAAAUUAUGAGAUAGGCUGGAAAUAAGAGACUAUCUUUUGCAAGCUUUGAAAUAUAGCAGAUAAAUUUCAUCCAUGCCAUUUUGUUUAAUUGUUUUAAGAACCCUUUGUGGUUGGUGGUAUUGCCCUUUUAGUGCGUGAAGAUGUGGGCUCAGAAAAGAAAUAAUAAGCUGACAUAUUUGGGGAAAUAGGUUUCUAACUCUGAAACUCAUUUCUGCCCCCUCCCCCCACCUCUUAGACUGAAUUCACACAGCAACGUAAGUCCCUAGUAAUUUAGCUACCAUGUUCAUACAGUAACUAGAAGAGACAUUCAGGAAAUGAUAAAUCUGUAUCAAAAGGAGUUUUUGUUUGUUUGUUUUGCAUCAGUGGCAUUUACUGCAGUAAAAGUGAUAUACAGUAGUUUUACCUUCGACAACCCUUUAUAAAGAGGCUUCAGUUCACUGUGAACUGUCUAGUGGUCUUGCCUCUAGAUCAUAGAUGAAGAUACUGACCUGAGUAGUUGUGACUCUCAGCUAGACAUAAGUGUGGGCAGGUAGGUAUUCCAGUACCUUAAGUCUGAGGUCCUGUUCAGUGUUCAUUCUUUAAUAUGGUGUGGCUUCCAUUCUGUAUCUUUCCUGUAUACUGGUGUCAUGGAGAGAGGGGGUAGGUAGCCAUUAAUAAUACUAUCAAUACAUAAUCAUCUUUUCUACUCUCGUCUCUUAAUGUUCAGAGACCUGGAGAAACUUGAUCUCUUUAGCUCUGCCAUCUUGGAUGCAAAAGUACUAAGUACAUUUGUUUUAAUGAGUCAUAAAAGUCAGUUGUACUGUUUAGAUCUCAUCUAAGUAAUUCCCACAUACACGUGUGUGUGUGUGUGUGUGUGUGUGUGUGUAGGUUUAUACCUGCCACAGCACUGAGUGAAGGUCAGGGGACAACUUGGAGUCAGUUCUCACCAUUCAUGUUGGUCCCAGUUAUCAGACACAGGUCACUGGGCUUGGCCAUAGGUGCCCUUUACCCACUAAACCAUCUUACCAGCCACAUCAUCUAGUUUUAUCCACUGGUAAUUUGUUUGAAACUACAUCUUGGUUUAUAUGUGAUUGAGAUUCAAGUACUCUAAUUAUAGUUAUUCCUUGGCUUCCGAUUGAGAGGACUUGGAUUCAGAUCUCAACUCUGCCAUUAAUCAUUGGGCAAGUCACUUUGAUCACUGUUUCUUAAACCCACAGAAUGCCCUUUUUGCCAUAUUUGUGAGAAUUAGAUAAAAGAAGGCAUCUGUGUUUAUUCUAAUUCUAUAGAAAAGUAUCAGGUAAUCAAAAUGUUAUUUUGAUAUUUGAGCUUGUUGAAAUUUUUUAGUUAGCUUUUACAAGAUUGUAAAGUAAUACUCAAUUU
rnacentral:lncRNA from 1 species